UACCAGCUCUCCGAGUGGUAGGGAUGAUUAUUGGGCUUAAAGCGUCCGUAGCCGGCUUAGCAAGUUUCCUGUUAAAUUCAGCGACCUAAUCGUUGAGCCGCGGGAAAUACUACUAGGCUAGGAGGCGGGAGAGGUCGACGGUACUUCUGGGGUAGGGGUGAAAUCCUAUAAUCCCGGGAGGACCACCAGUGGCGAAGGCUGUCGGCUAGAACGCGCUCGACGGUGAGGGACGAAAGCUGGGGGAGCGAACCGGAUUAGAUACCCGGGUAGUCCCAGCUGUAAACGAUGCGGGCUAGGUGUUGGGGUGGCUACGUGCCACUUCAGUGCCGCAGGGAAGCCAUUAAGCCCGCCGCCUGGGGAGUACGGCCGCAAGGCUGAAACUUAAGGAUUGGCGGGGGAGCACCACAAGGCGUGAAGGCUUGCGGUUC
rnacentral:rRNA from 1 species